rnacentral:misc_RNA from 1 species
GCAAACUUGGUCAUUUAGAGGAAGUAAAAGUCGUAACAAGGUUUCCGUAGGUGAACCUGCGGAAGGAUCAUUUAAAUAUAAGAGACUUAUAAAAAGUCUUUUACAACAAAAUGUGCAAUUGUUAUAUAUAAUAUAAAGCAGACUUGCUGAUUAUUAUUUGAUAUGUACUUUAUAUUCGUAAAGAAUAUAAUUGAUAUAUAUAAAACAUACACAACUUUUAACAAUGGAUCUCUUGGCUCUUGCAUCGAUGAAGAACGCAGC